rnacentral:rRNA from 1 species
GACGAACGCUGGCGGCGUGCUUAACACAUGCAAGUCGAACGGAGCGAAUGAAAGCUUGCUUUUAUAAGCUUAGUGGCAAACGGGUGAGUAACAUGUAGGCAACCUGCCGACAGGAUGGGGACAACAUUCCGAAAGGAAUGCUAAUACCGAAUGAAGUCGAGGGAGGGCAUCCUCCUCCGAUGAAAGAUGGCCUCUAUAUAUAAGCUAUCACCUGUCGAUGGGCCUGCGUCUGAUUAGCUGGUAGGUGAGGUAACGGCUCACCUAGGCGACGAUCAGUAGCCGGUCUGAGAGGAUGAACGGCCACAUUGGGACUGAGACACGGCCCAGACUCCUACGGGAGGCAGCGGUGGGGAAUCUUCCGCAAUGGGCGCAAGCCUGACGGAGCAACGCCGCGUGAGUGAAGAAGGUCUUCGGAUCGUAAAGCUCUGUUGAUGGGGACGAACGUGCCUAAUGCGAAUAGUAUUAGGUAA